rnacentral:rRNA from 1 species
UACGAAGGGGGCUAGCGUUGCUCGGAAUCACUGGGCGUAAAGGGUGCGUAGGCGGGUUUUUAAGUCAGGGGUGAAAUCCUGGAGCUCAACUCCAGAACUGCCUUCGAAACUGACGAUCUUGAGUUCGGGAGAGGUGAGUGGAACUGCGAGUGUAGAGGUGAAAUUCGUAGAUAUUCGCAAGAACACCAGUGGCGAAGGCGGCUCACUGGCCCGAUACUGACGCUGAGGUGCGAAAGCGUGGGGAGCAAACAGG